rnacentral:rRNA from 1 species
GACAGAGGAUGCAAGCGUUAUCCGGAAUGAUUGGGCGUAAAGCGUCUGUAGGUGGCUUUUUAAGUCCGCCGUCAAAUCCCAGGGCUCAACCCUGGACAGGCGGUGGAAACUACCAAGCUGGAGUACGGUAGGGGCAGAGGGAAUUUCCGGUGGAGCGGUGAAAUGCGUAGAGAUCGGGAAGAACACCAACGGCGAAAGCACUCUGCUGGGCCGACACUGACACUGAGAGACGAAAGCUAGGGGAGAAUGGGAUUAGAACCUACGUACAGUCCA